UUUAUACAGUUCCCUCUUCGAAAAUACUUGUCAUCAAAAUGGAUAAAAAGAGAUAUAUCUAAAACUAAUAUACAUUUAGACACAUCCUUUUAUUCAUUUUGAUGACAAAUAUUUCCGGACGGAGGGAGUAUAUA
rfam:Triticum urartu cultivar G1812 contig839100, whole genome shotgun sequence.